UACGAAGGGGGCUAGCGUUGCUCGGAAUCACUGGGCGUAAAGCGCACGUAGGCGGCUUCUUAAGUCAGGGGUGAAAUCCUGGAGCUCAACUCCAGAACUGCCUUUGAUACUGAGGAGCUCGAGUCCGGAAGAGGUGAGUGGAACUGCGAGUGUAGAGGUGAAAUUCGUAGAUAUUCGCAAGAACACCAGUGGCGAAGGCGGCUCACUGGUCCGGUACUGACGCUGAGGUGCGAAAGCGUGGGGAGCAAACAGG
rnacentral:rRNA from 1 species